rnacentral:rRNA from 1 species
CCUACGGGGGGCAGCAGUGAGGAAUAUUGGUCAAUGGGCGCGAGCCUGAACCAGCCAAGUCGCGUGAGGGAGGACGGCCCUACGGGUUGUAAACCUCUUUUGCCGGGGAGCAACGGGCGUCACGUGUGGCGCCACUGAGAGUACCCGGAGAAAAAGCAUCGGCUAACUCCGUGCCAGCAGCCGCGGUAAUACGGAGGAUGCGAGCGUUAUCCGGCUUUAUUGGGUUUAACGGGUGCGUAGGCGGAUCGUUAAGUCAGUGUGAAAAUUGAGGGGCUCAACCCCUUCCCGCCAUUGAAACUGGCGAUCUUGAGUGGAAGAGAAGUAUGCGGAAUGCGUGGUGUAGCGGUGAAAUGCGUAGAUAUCACGCAGAACCCCGAUUGCGAAGGCAGCAUGCCGGCUUCCGACUGACGCUGAAGCACGAAAGCGUGGGGAUCGAACAGGAUUAGAUACCCCAGUAGUC